AGUGCUUUGUAAGUUGCCACAAGUCCCUUCGGGGAGAUGGUGGUGGGAUAUUAUUAUUAUUAUUAUUAUUAUUAUUAUUAUUAUUAUUAUUAUUAGGCCAGUCCAAGGAAACAAAAACUCAGACUUAAGCAUUCAGCCUUAGGGGGGUGUCUGCCUCCAAACAGUCAGCUAGCCAGAUCUCCCAGGGUCUUUCACAAAUAGCAUUGUAAUAAUUUUCAUUCCUUAUUGCUGACUCCUCAAGAUCUGAUUCUAUGGACUAAUAAAUCUUCAGAACCUUAUGACUGUUUUUCUGGUUUAUGUAGCGAUCAAGAAUGUAUGGCUCUAUAUUCUACAAAGUGCAGAAAUUGGCUUGGGGCACAGAAUCCAUCAUCCCAGGAAGUUGCGUUUCCAUUUUUAUCCAAAACCAUUGCAAGCAUCUAGCCAUCAAGCCUCAAAAGGCAGGAUUAGGAAUAUACUCUGGGAAAUCUUUGGAGGAAAAAAAAAAGUCCAAGAUACUCACAGGGAAGUAGAGCAGGAGUGAGCCAAAGAGUAUUGUCUCCAGAAGAAGAACUCCUGAAGCCCGAAUCCUCUAGGAAAACAGAGAUGAAUGUGAAAUGGUGGUGCUCCCAACACAACCGAAGAUGAAUGGUAGCUUUGGAGGAAGUGCAGACAUUCAAGUCAGUAUUUCCACUGCUCGGCACUGCCCUUACCUUGCUCUUCCUAAAGUGAUAGGAGACCAGCAUACUGAAGAAAACGGCCAGCAUGCAGAAAGCCUGGAAAGCCAGCACUGCAGCGCGCAAGGACCAGUCUUCCUGGA